AGCUUAUCAAGAGUGGUUGAGGGAAAGGGCCCUGUGAAACCCAGCAACCGGCAUAUUUUUGUAUCGGUGCUAAUUCCCCCGCAGUAUUGCGGAAGAUGAGAU
rnacentral:ncRNA from 2 species